UUUCACUUUCUCACUGUUUUGAUUCAUUUUUUUCAUCUCUUCCUCUUCUUUCACUUGAUCCCGUACCCUUUACCACUACUAUCCUUUUCUCUGCUUCUUUCUCUUCUCCUCAGUAACUUUCUCUCUUUUUUUUUUUUUGGUCCAAAACAUCAUCAGUUUGACCUGCAGUGAUGAAUCUCAUACUGCUGAAAUUCAGUCUGGUUGGGCUUCACAAGUAUUAGUAAGUUGAAUGUUUGGAAAAAUUAUUUAAAGGCAGGUGGGUACAAUCCUUCCCUUUCAUGUGAAUCAUUACAAGAUUAAUGUUUAACACAAAGGAAUACAUUUUCAGAAAGGUGAACCUUUUUCGUAGGUUUUAAAAAUAUAGCUGAAAUCUGAAUGAAACAUAUAGUAGAAAUUACAUAUGCUAAAAUGUUUUCUGAAGGUGAAACUUCAGAAAAGCAUAGGAAGACCUAAAAGCUUCCACAGUUAAGACUUGAGUGACUGUCUGUAUAGUAAAGGGAGAAUCCCAGUAUCUGCUGGUUUAUAUAUUUUAUUGUUCAUUAUAAACCAGUUUGUAAAGAUGCAGAGGAUAAACACAUGAGUAAAAAAAAACUUUUAGACUAAUCAUAAGAGGAAUAUAGGGACUGUUAGGCAGAGAAACAGAUAGCAAUAAUAGAAAAUGCAAUAUUCUGAUUAGUUUGAUUUAUUCUAAAUUGAGAAUAGUGGUUGCAACCAAGGUCAUGAAAUGCUAGUGAGCUACCAUGUAUUAAACAAGCAAACAAAAAUUACAAAUGGUACAAGAACUGAAAAGGCAGGAAUAACUACAGAGAAAUAAAUGUUCAGUUAAAUCAGCCUAAAUCUGACAGAAAUACAGUUCACUGAAAGAUCUUUUAAAAUAAAAAUAAUUAAAUAGGAAGGUAAAAAAAUUGAAGAAGGUAAAAUUAAGUAUGAAUAUAAUGCAGGUCUUGGGGAUAUUUAAUAUGCCUAAAGAAAAGAAAAUAAAGCAUAGUAAAGGACAUAAAAAUAUGCUAUGAAGAGUUGGGAAUUUCAGGCUAGCAUCAUAUAGCAUAUAUGGCUGAGAUUUUUGAAUAUGUGCAUUGCACCUCUUACAUCCUGCUAAAAUCAGUUUAUAAAAAAUUAGGCUGAUGGAGUCUUUACACAUAAAUAUGAGUGAACAUAACCACACAAUUACUUAUAUAUAUGACCUAACAUUUUGUUUUUCUAUGUAUAGGUGGUAUCAACUAAAGUUCAAUCUUCUGAGGGAUAUCAUUUAAUACGGAAUACAUGAAAUGCAGAAAAUGUUUGGCAGUGGAGCAGAAAAUGUGUUUGUGGGAAAGAAGUGGACCCUCCAUGUUUUCAGCAUAUUAAGAGGAAUUCCAGGCAUUCUCCUACCUCAAAUAUAUAUUAAUAUCCCUGACAAUUCUCCUGGAGUGUGGUUACUUGCUUGUCCUUUUUUACAAAACUGGUAUCAAUUCUAGAAGUGAUGGCUUGAUAGAAUGAGAAUGAUACAGUCCUAAUGAAAACUUAGGCAGCUGUACAAAACAGGAUGGAAUUGUAAAUACACAAAAAACUUGGAGCUCCAUAGAAUAAAACAAUCAAUUAGGAUAAAGAGACUUAAAAAAACUGCGUA
rnacentral:lncRNA from 7 species